rnacentral:rRNA from 1 species
ACUCAAAUGAAUUGACGGGGGCCCGCACAAGCAGCGGAGCGUGUGGUUUAAUUCGAGGCUACACGAAGAACCUUACCUGGCUUUGACAUGACCGUCAACGAGGGUGAAAGCCUGAGGUCCGCAAGGGACGGUCACAGGUGCUGCAUGGCUGUCGUCAGCUCGUGCCGUGAGGUGUUAGGUUAAGUCCUGUAACGAGCGCAACCCUCGGGUUCAGUUACACGCAGUCUGGACCGACUGCCCGUGACAAGCGGGAGGAAGGUGGGGAUGACGUCAAGUCAGCAUGGCCUUUAUAGCCAGGGCUACACACACGCUACAAUGGUCGGUACAAUCGGUAGCCAAGCCGCAAGGCGGAGCCAAUCCAAGCAAAGCCGAUCACAGUUCGGAUUGUGGGCUGCAACCCGCCCACAUGAAGCUGGAGUUGCUAGUAACCGCGCAUCAGCCAUGGUGCGGUGAAUACGUUCCCGGGCCUUGUACACACCGCCCGU